GAUUCGAUUUGGGAACCCGAGGCGCUAGGGUUUCUACGCCCUGCCUGAUCCGAUUCUUUCUUCCUCCUCCUCUGAGAAUUCAAGAUGUUUUGGCACUUGGCUGGCUUGUCUACUGCGUCUCCUAGUGAUUGGAGUUUUGCCAUGGUGGAAGCUCUUUGUAAUUUCAGUUAUGUUUUUAACUUCGUAAUUGCUGUUUUAUAAUUUCUGGUUGUUGGUUGCUGGUUGCUGUUUUAUAAUUUUUGUAAUGCUGCUGAUUUGAGUUUGGAAUUUGUGAUUACUAAUUUACUGAUUUGAGGUUAGUGGAAAGUUGAGUCUGUGUUACUCUGUUUCAGGGAUUUGAAGUUGAAUUUGUGAUUUGUGA